GCCGGCAUGGUGAAAUUGGUAUACACGAUAGACUCAAAAUCUAUUGAUAGCGAUAUCGUAACGGUUCAAGUCCGUUUGCCGGUA
rnacentral:tRNA from 1 species